AUUAGGGUAAUAUAAUACAAUAUAUUUUGCUUACACCAAAAAGUUGGUUUUCAGCCCCCUAAUAC
rnacentral:tRNA from 1 species